GCCGGCAACGUUAAAGGUAUAUGUGAUAUACAUGUUAUUGAUGUGUACCUUACCAGCGCUCGUAGUAGCUCCUGGGUAUUUCAUACCGGCGUUGUUGCUCACAUUUGCAACUCAAAGCAGGAACUACGGAAUAAGCGGAGAGUGGCAAAGGACAAGGUGACGAUGCGCGUCGGGAAUGGCUCCAAGGUCGAUGCGAUCGCCGUCGGCACGCUACCUCUACAUCUACCGCCGGGAUUAGUUUUAAACCUUAAUAAUUGUUAUUUAGUACCAGCUUUAAGCAUGAACAUUGUAUCAGGGUCUUGCUUAAUGCGAGACGGCUACUCAUUUAAGUCAAAGAAUAAUGGUUGUUCUAUUUAUAUGAGUGAUAUGUUUUAUGGUCAUGCUCCGUUGGUGAAUGGUUUAUUCUUGAUGAAUCUCGAUCGUGAUGUUACACAUAUUCAUAGUGUGAGUACCAAAAGAUGUAAAGUUGACAAUGAUAGUCCCACAUACUUGUGGCACUGCCGCCUUGGUCAUAUCGGCGUUAAGCGCAUGAAGAAGCUCCAUACUGAUGGACUAUUAGAGUCUCUUGAUUUUGAAUCAUUUGACACAUGCGAACCGUGCCUCAUGGGCAAGAUGAGUAAGACUCCAUUCUCAGGAAUAAUGGAGAGAGCAACCAACUUAUUGGAAAUAAUACAUACUGAUGUGUGUGGUCCAAUGAACGUUGAAGCUCGCGGUGGCUAUCGUUAUGUUCUCACUCUCACCAAUGAUUUGAGUAGGUAUGGGUAUAUCUACUUGAUGAAGCACAAAUCUGACAUUUGAAAAGUUUAAGGAAUUUCAGAGUGAGGUCGAGAAUCAACGUGACAGAAAAAUUAAGUGUCUAUGAUCUGAUCGUGGAGGAGAAUAUUUGAGUCACGAGUUUGGCACACACCUAAGGAAGUGUGGAAUCGUUUCACAACUGACGCCGCCUCGCACACCGCAACGCAAUGGAGUGUCUGAACGUUGUAAUCGCACUUUAUUAGAUAUGGUACGAUCUAUGAUGUCUCUUACCGACUUACCGCUAUCAUUUUGGGGAUACGCAUUAGAAACUACAACAUUCACUUUAAAUAGGGCAGCGUCGAAAUCCGUUGAGACAACACCGUAUGAACUAUGGUUUGGCAAGAAACCUAAGUUGUCGUUUCUUAAAGUUUGGGGCUGCAAUGCUUAUGUGAAUAAACUUCAACCAGAAAAGCUCGAACCCAAAGCGGAGAAAUGCGUAUUCAUAGGAUACCCUAAGGAAACUAUUGGGUAUACCUUCUAUCUUAGAUCCGAAGGUAAAACCUUUGUUGCCAAGAACGGAUUCUUUCUAGAGAAAGAGUUCCUCUCGAAAUAAGUAAGUGGGCGGAAGGUAGAACUUGAUGAGGUAAUUACACCCCCUCUCGAACAGGAUAGUAGCGCAACGCGGGAAGUUGUUCCUGUGGCGCCUAUACCAACUGAAGAGGAAGUUAAUGAUAAUGAUCAUGAAGCUUCGGAUCAAGUUACUACUGAACCGCAAAGGUCCACGAGGGCACGCUCCGCACCAGAGUGGUACGACAACCCUGUGAUGGAAAUCAUGUUGUUAGACAACGGUGAACCUUCAAACUAUGAAGAAGCGAUGGCGGGCCCGGAUUCCAGCAAAUGGCUUGAAGCGAUGAAAUCCAAGAUAGGAUCCAUGUAUGAGAACAAAGUAUGGACUUUGGUGGACUUGCCCGAUGAUCGGCGAGCCAUAGAAAAUAAAUGGAUCUUCAAGAAAAAGACUGAUGCAAACGGUAAUGUAACCGUUCAUAAAGCUCGACUUGUCGCAAAGGGUUUUUGACAAAUUCAAGGAGUUGACUACGAAGAGACUUUCUCUCCCGUAGCGAAGCUGAAAUCAGUCCAAAUCAUGUUAGCAAUUGCCUCCUUUUAUGAUUAUGAAAUUUGACAAAUGGACGUCAAAACAGCGUUCCUUAACGGGAACCUUAAGGAAGAGUUGUAUAUGAUGCAACCAGAAGGUUUUGUCAACCCUAAGGGUGCUAACAAAGUGUGCAAGCUCCAGCGCUCCAUCUAUGGGAUGGUGCAAGCAUCUCGGAGUUGGAACAUUCGCUUUAAUAAGGUGAUUAAAGCGUUUGGGUUCAUACAGGUUUACGGAGAAGCCUGUGUGUACAAGAAAGUGAGUGGAAGCUCUGUAGCUUUCCUCAUACUGUAUGUGGAUGACAUAUUAUUGAUGGGGAACAAUAUAGAGAUGUUGGAAAGCAUAAAGGCCUAUUUGAACAAGAGUUUUUCAAUGAAGGACCUUGGAGAAGCUGCAUACAUAUUAGGCAUCAAGAUAUAUAGAGAUAGAUCGAGACGCCUCAUAGGUCUUNNNNNNNNNNNNNNNNNNNNNNNNNNNNNNNNNNNNNNNNNNNNNNNNNNNNNNNNNNNNNNNNNNNNNNNNNNNNNNNNNNNNNNNNNNNNNNNNNNNNNNNNNNNNNNNNNNNNNNNNNNNNNNNNNNNNNNNNNNNNNNNNNNNNNNNNNNNNNNNNNNNNNNNNNNNNNNNNNNNNNNNNNNNNNNNNNNNNNNNNNNNNNNNNNNNNNNNNNNNNNNNNNNNNNNNNNNNNNNNNNNNNNNNNNNNNNNNNNNNNNNNNNNNNNNNNNNNNNNNNNNNNNNNNNNNNNNNNNNNNNNNNNNNNNNNNNNNNNGUUCUUGCCAGUUUUGCAUGGUAUGAGAUUGAGUAAGACUCAGUCGCCGACCACGACAGCAGAUAGAGAGAAGAUGAGUUAUGUCCCCUACGCUUCAGUCGUAGGCUCUCUUAUGUAUGCCAUGUUGUGUACCAGACCUGAUAUAAACCUUGCCAUAAGUUUUGUAGGGAGGUACCAAAGUGAUCCCGGUAUGGAACACUGGACAGUGGUCAAGAAUAUCCUUAAGUACAUGAAAAGGACUAAGGAAAUGUUUCUCGUUUAUGAAGGUGAUGAAGAGCUAUUCGUAAAGGGUUACGUCAACGCUAGCUUCCACACAAAUCCGGAUGACUCUAAGUCACUGACCGGAUACAUAUAUGUUUUGAAUGGUGGGGCAGUGAGCUGGUGCAGCAGCAAGCAAGAAGUCGCGACAACAUCUACAUGUGAAGCGGAGUACAUAGCUGCUUCAGAAGCGUCUCAUGAAGGGAUUUGGAUGAAGGAGCUCAUCACCGACCUUGGAGUGGUUCCAAGCACGUCGGGUCCAAUGACACUCUUCUGUGAUAAUACUGGGGCCAUUGUCAUAGCCAAGAAGCCCAGGUUUCACCGGAAGACGAAGCACAUCAAACGCCACUACAACUCCAUCUAGGACCAUGUCUAGAGUGGAGUAAUAGAUAUUUGUAAAGUACACACGGAUCUGAAUAUUGCAGACCCGUUGACUAAACCUCUUCCACGAGCAAAACAUGAUCAACACCAUAAUGCUAUGGGUGUUCGAUACAUCACAAUGUAACUAGAUUAUUGACUCUAGUGCAAGUGGGAGACUGUUGGAUGCCCUAGAGGCAAUAAUAAAAUGGUUAUUAUCAUAUUUCCUUGUACAUGAUAAUCGUCUAUUGUUCAUGCUAUAAUUGUAUUAACAGGAAACAGUAAUACAUGUGUGAAUAAAUAGAUCACAAUGUGUCCCUAGCAAGCCUCUAGUUGGCAAGCUCGUCAGUCAAUAGAUGAUCAUGGUUUCCUGAUCAUGGGCAUUAGAUGCCAUUGAUAACGGGAUCACAUCAUUGGGAGAAUGAUGUGAUGGACAAGACCCAAUCCUAAGCAUAGCACUAGAUCGUAUUGUUCGUAUGCUAAAGCUUUUCUAAUUUCAAGUGUCUUUUCCUUCGACCGUGAGAUUGUGCAACUCCCGGAUACCGUAGGAGUGCUUUGGGUGUAUCAAACGUCACAACGUAACAGGGUGACUAUAAAUGUGCACUACGGGUAUCUCCGAAAGUGUUUGUUGGGUUGGUACGAAUCGAGAUCGGGAUUUGUCACUCCGUGUGACGGAGAGGUAUCUCUGGGCCCACUCGGUAGAACAUCAUCAUGAGCUCAAUGUGACUAAGGAGUUAGUCACACGAUGACGUGCUACAGAACGAGUUAAGAGACUUACCGGUAACGAGAUUGAACAAGGUAUAGGUAUACCGACGAUCGAAUCUCGGGCAAGUUCUAUACCUACAGACAAAGGGAAUUAUAUACGGGAUUGAUUGAAUCCUUGACAUCGUGGUUCAUCCGAUGAGAUCAUCGUGGAGCAAGUGGGAGCCACCAUGGGUAUCCAGACCCCGCUGAUGGUCAUUGGCCAAAGAGGUGUCUCGGUCAUGUCUACCUGUCUCCCGAACCCGUAGGGUCUACACACUUAAGGUUCGAUGACGCUAGGGUUAUAGGAAAUUGUUAUACGAGGUUAUCGAAAGUUGUUCGGAGUGCCGGAUGAGAUCCCGGACAUCACGAGGAGCUCCGAAAUGGUCCGAAGGUAAAGAUUGAUAUAUAGGACGGAUGGUUUCGGACACCGGAAGUGUUUCGGGCGUCAUCAGUAACGUACCGGGACCACCGGGACCACCAGAGGUGGCCCGGGGGUCCACCAAAAGAGGACAACGACCCCGGGAGGAUAGAUGGGCCAAGUGGGGAAGGGAACUAGCCCCUAGGUGGGCUGGUGCGCCCCCACUCAGCCCAUGGCGCAGGAAGAGGGGAGAGGGGGGGAACCCUAGCGCAGGUGGGCCUAAGGCCCACCAGAGGGGUGCGCCACCCCUCCUCCCUGCCCUGGCCGCCGCACCUCCCAUCUGGGGGGCUGCUGCACCACCUAGGGUGGGAACCCUAGGGGUGGCACCCCCCUCCCCUCCUCCUAUAUAUAGUGGGCACUUUUGGGCUUUUGAAGAUAGACUUUUCCCUCUCCCUCGGCGCAGCCCUGCCCUUCUUUCUCCUCCUCUCUGCCGGUGCUUGGUGAAGCCCUGCCGGAAGACACCGUCUCUCCAUCGACACCACGCCGUCGUGCUGCUGGAGUUCUUCCCCAACCUCUCCCUCCUCCUUGCUGGAUCAAGGUGCGGAAGACGUCACCGGGCUGCACGUGUGUUGAACACGGAGGUGCCGUAGUUCGGCACUAGAUCGAAAUCACACCGCGAUUCGAAUCGUCGCGAGUACGACUCCAUCAACCGCGUUCUAGUAACAUUUCUGCUUAGCGAUCUUCAAAGAUAUGAAGAUGCACUCACCCCUCUCUCGUUGCUGGUCUCUCCAUAGGAAGAUCUGAAUAUGCGUAGGAAUUUUUUUGAAUUUAUGCUACGUUACCCAACAGGUAUCCUCUUCCUAUUUGGGUUCCGCAUGAAAACCUCUUGUCCAUUUUGGGCUCGGCAGCGGUGACACUUUAUGCCGUCUUCGCUUCCGAGGUCAUUUUCAUGGAGUUUAGGUGUAACUAAAUUAGUAUCAUUAGACCUAUCAUGGACUGUAGUUCCCUAUUUUUAUUUUUUUACAAACUUGAUCAAACAUAGAAGUAGAAGUGCUUGACUUUAAAAAUAAUAACCCACCUUAAAGUAUUUAAAAACGAAGAGUUACUAUAACUGAACAGUCAAGCUUAUAACAAUGGUGACCUGGUCGGAUUGGACCAGAAAGUCUCUUCCAUCAGGGUUUACUAUAUGAAAUAAGUGGAGUUUGGAAAAUAAACGCAGAUCAACGUGUCGGAGUUCACCGACAUGGCGUCAUGGGAGCGUGCUCAGCAAGAUCCCGAUAGUCACGAGGUUAUGCGUUCUCCGAUCCAUCAGGACUGACUAAAGGCGCAGGCGUGGACGCCUCCUACUGCGGAGGCGUCGACCCAAACUUUGUGGUUGAUGUCGAGCUAGGAGUGAAAGGAGAUGCCUUUUACCCCUCCUACCGUGACGGGGCACCGUGAUGUAGACGGUUAGGGGUGCCUCUCGGACAUGGAUGUCGGGGCAGUGGUCCCGUGUGGCGGUCCGCUUGGUGGGCUCUCCAGCGGGUACCAUGGCGGCAUGGAUGGCUUUCCCUCUUGGUCAUGUAAGCGGGGAAAGGUAGAGCGGUGGGUGGCUUGGGCAUGCUCUUUGAUUUAGACAGUGAUGACACCCCUAUCCGGCUGUGGAGAUAUGUUCUCGUCGCACUUGUCCUGGAGACCUCGAGGUGGCUCGGUGAAGCGGCCGAGCGAAAGCUCUGCACUUUUUCGUUGCGGGCGCUCCUUUCUUCUUGAAAACGUCGUCCUGGUGCUGCUCUCAAUGUCUAGCUUCCGGGUAAAAACCUUUGUCCAUUUUGGACUCGGCAGCGGUGACGCUUUAUGCCGUUUUUCCUCUUAAGAGCAUUGUCAUGUUUUUCCUCUUAAGAGCAUUGUCAUGGAGCUUAGAUGUACUAGGGCAUUGCGUGACGUUAUACUCGAUCACACUAUGUUAUCUUUCUGUUGUGUAGUCGCUUGAGGAUUCCAUCGUGUACUCUGUUUGCUUGUUGCCUUACAUAUAAAGCGUUACGAAAGGUUUUUUUUAAGAAAAAAAGAAAAAGAAACACAAUAAUAUGGCAUGGGUCUCAUAUAUAUAGACACACAGAUAAACAGUUGCCCCUUUUCCUGAACAAUUCCUGAAGGCUAGUUCUACUACUCCUCUCUCUAUCCCAAAAUAAAUACCGUUGACUUAGCACGUACUCCCUCCGUCCCAAAAUAAGUGUCUCAACUUUAUACUAGCUCUAGUACAAAUUUGUAUUAAGCUUGAGACAGUUAUUUUGGGACGGAGGGAGUACAACUUUACACUAAAGCUAUAGUAACUCAGUAACUAAUUUUUGGACGGGGGAGUAGUAUCUAGCUAGGCCUGGCAAAUUGAUAAGUGAACAUAGGCCGGGAAACGCUAUGACGAUCGAGUAUAUCAGAAAAUAUAGGUAUGAAUCUCUUCCUAAUUCCUAAUAAUAAAGCGAAUAUUGUUUCUGGUCGUCCGUCCUUUCAACUGAUUCAUAUCAAUUUAUAUACAUUUAAAGAUUAUUUGUAAUAUCAAUCAGCCUUCUCAAAAAAAUAAAAAAUAAAUAAGAGCAACUAGGGAUCUCGGGCGAGGGAAAGAGGAGGGAUCGAGCAGCAGCGCACCAGCGCUCUGGAUCUGGUCUGGAACGGGGCAGCGGAGGGGCUGUCAUGCAGUAGAGGACACGACCGGCGGCGGCGCUCCGGCAGCCUGGGAGCAGAGAAGGCCAGACGAGGCGAGGCGUCGCCAUGGCGCGGUAUGACAGCGACCCGCCGGAGGUGGAGUGGGAGAGGCAGCGACUUGCUGGCGCCGGAGGAGGCGAGGCGUCGCCAUGGCGCGGUAUGACGGCGACCCGCCGGAGGUGGAGCGAGAGAGGUGGCGGCGCUCCGGCAGCCUGGGAGCAGAGAAGGCCGGAGGAGGCGAGGCGUCGCCAUGACGCGGUAUGACGGCGACCCGCCGGAGGUGGAGCGAGAGAGAUCAGGCGGCGCGGGGGAUGCGGGUCUGCAGACGGUGCAUGGAGGGGGGAUCCCGCCAGUGUGCGCAGCUUUGGGUGAUGAGUGGGCAGGGCCGUGGGGAUCCCUUCGAUGGCAGGCAACAAGAUAAGGCUGCGAGGAAUUACAAGUCCGCUGGAGAAGCACAACGAGGCGUCUGGCUUCUUCUAGACCAGUUGACGUGUUACUAGCGCAUGUUGUCUUUUUUCUUUUUGUGUCCACGAACCGAUAAAAAGCUCUGAAUUCAUCAGGAGGAUGUGUUAGGGUGCACACAAUCUUUUUUAGCUAGACAUUUAUUUUCCGUUCACUAACCAUUGAUAAUCUGAUUCAUAAUGUCAUAACAUUUUUUCUUUGCUUCCUAAAUUGUAUUCAUAAAAAACAUAACACUAGCCACACAUGCACCGUCAUUAAUUAACUCACUCAUGCUUAUUUGAAACUAUGUUUAGGGAUACCUGAGUACAUUUUUUUAUUUAAACAAAAAAUAUUGUAAAUAAAAUUAAAAAGUAAAGUACUUAAAACUAGCUUUCUACUUUCUUAAACAAAGGAUUACACAAAUUGUUAUCUAUACGACAAUGACUUUACAGUUAACACACACAAAAGAAAAAUGCAUGCCUGAACGUCGGACGAAGUAUACGAUAUUUUUAAAAGGUGCAAUUUAAAUCUUCACAGGCCGGUAAAAAUCUCCAUCCCGUGGACAUGUUAGUUGAUCUUCAUGGACGGGUAAAACCUCCAAAACUAUGCACAGUUGCCGGAUUGAUGCUACAUAUUCUUUUGAAUGUCGAAUUUGACUUUAUUUACGUCCCUCACAAACUCGUACUCAUUGGCUAGUAGGACACGAAAACAAAAAAGGAACAAACAUCAUGAUAUUUCUAGCCCGUUGCAACGCACGGGCAUUUGUACCAGUCCAAAAUCAACAGAAGAAUAGAGCAUAUGCAUCCAUUGAUGUCGACCAGUAUUAUGCCGUUUUUAUUUUUUAAGCUUGAACUUGAUUGGGUGUGUGCAUGUGAGUUAAAACUUUUAAGUAGUAAAGCGCCUUUUAUCAGAAAAAAUCGACGCCGAUCGACCGUUGUGCAUCAACGAAGAAGAACCAGUAUCUCAAACACAAUCUUUGUGCUAAUAUCAAAUUUAUAUUUUACCGACUGAUGACAAUAGUAUACGGCCGGAGUUAACAAAAGAUCAUAUUACCAGAUACAAAACUCAACACAUAAACUGCACAUAGAUCACAGAAUCGAAGGAUUCAAACAGGAUCACACAUACACCCAUACUAGCUACCACUAGGUAGCUUCAUAUCGAUUUGGUAUAGCUAGCUAGUAGUUACACGAGACAAAGGAUUUAGGAUACAAUACACAUCGUGCUGUGAUCUUCACCGGUAGUCUUACAGGGGGGAGAUCAUCAUGGCCCCCGGUCGAGAAGUUACAAUUGCCAAAGGAUAGAAGUUGCCCUACCUUAGUAGAGGUGAGAAGUCGCCGCCGCCGCUGCCGCCACCGCCGUGGACGAGGCCGCCCUGCCGGCCAGCCAACCAUGGCCGUUUCGCCCAGAGCUUCCUCAAGAACCCAAGUAGCCUAGCUAGCUGCAGCUUGAUGCAAACCAGAGAUAGCUAGCCAACGCCGGAUCCAUCGGUUGCUACGUACGCGCCCAGGGACCAUGGCCGAGGGCACACUCCGAGUGAGGAUGGGAGCAGGCAUGCAUGCAGCUGGUACUGGUCG
rnacentral:lncRNA from 1 species